AACCGAUCCGUGUGGAUGCUUUCCUGACAUGGGGCUGUGCAGCCCUGAUGCCUGCCCUUAGCAGCUCAUCUGUGCCAGGGAAAAAGGGGGAAAAUGCAUCUGGACUGCAGAGCUGAAAGGAGGAGCCUUCUCAUACCAGGAUCAUCCUGGAAGCUGCCAAAGGCUGAAGGCCAGCAGUUCAGACAGGCGGAUGUGAGCAGCAGCAGGUAUGCAGGCGGACUGGUUCCAGGCUUGCUGGAGGCAGCAGCUGCUAGCAACUGGCUCAGGGUUCAGCCCCACCACAGAGCCUGGUGGUGCACCCUCCCAUGGCAGAGCCACCUGCAGAGCUACGGUCCAUGCGCUGGGGCUGAGUCCACACCCUGAGCAGCGUUGCAGGAUAUGAUGGAGCAUUCCCAGAACAGCACCAUGCAGGAAUGUCCAAAACUGUGUCCUUCCUUUAUCGCGUGCUUCAUCUGAAAGCCAAGAAGAGAAAACAGCAUUAAACAAAGACCCGGCCUCCCUGCACUGAACAAUCCCCUGCCAGACCCCAGAUCUCAGUUCCUCAGGGCUGGCCCACAGACCCCCCUGAUGCCCUCUCAAAAGCCCCGUGGGCCACACUUGUCUUCCCCCAAGACCUCCCUGUGCCACGAAGGGAUGUCAGUCAGUUCCAGCUCCCUUCACCGAGCCUUUGCUCAGAGUGAGUCUCCAGCUCCCCAGCCCCACAUGCCACGCACUGAAGCUACUGGCACGCUGCUGCCCAUGGGGCUCUGCUUGCAGCUGGCGCUGGCAGCAGGGCAGGACGGAGCAAAGGCCAGUCCCCUCUGGGAUAAAGCCCCAUUCACAGCUCCCGCUUCACAUGCUCCCUCACCAGCAUCAGCCUCUUGUCACCAACUGGCUCUGCUGCCCAGAAUGACAGCAUAAGGUGGGGGGGUCCAGCUUGAGGCUUAACCCUUCCAGUUCAGUCACUCAGCCCUGUCCCUGCCUCGUUAGCAAUCCCAUCUUGCUGCAGAAAUGGGACAGUUAUACCUCUCGUGAUCUCAGCACUUCCAGGGAAAGAGCCCCAGAAGCAGCCAGGACCUGGCACUGCAAUUCUGCUCUCCUCUCUGCUCCUCCUGCUCCUAAUGAGCCCUGCUUCCUGGGGCACAUCUCCUCCCCUGCACCCUGACUCUCUUUCUGCCUCCCAUUAAUGCUUCUCUGUGCAGUUUUCUACAUUCAGAAACCACUUGCAUUUCUCCCACACGAUGUCCCACCCCAGCAGGGGCACACAGCUGAUACCUGAAGCAGGAAGUGGGUGGAGAGGACAGUCUGAACCUCUCAGACAUGGGACAGCCUCCUGCUCACCUCCCAGUAAGAAUAGCACACCAGGGGCCAUCAUGCAGGGACUGUUCAGAGUGCUACAGGAGCCCAGAUCCCAUGUGCCAUAGCUGUCACCCUGAGUGGGAGGACAGCCCUGUACCCCACCUGCCCCAAACGGCUCAUUUGGAGACCACUGGUCCGUGUCUACCACAGCCCAAUUACCUGGGCUCUGGGCUCAUUAUGGAUCAUUGGAGAACAUCUGGGACCUUUGCACGUGGCACAGACCACGGACCUCUUCUACCACAGCUCCCAGUGUCUCCAGACACCCUUCUGAGGCCACAUCACCACUUCAGCAGGGAUGAACUGCUGCGGGGUGGGGCAGAGGGAGCACAAUGGCGGGGUGCCUGGGCCUGCCGCCGCCUGACGGUGUCAGGCUGCCCCUCCUGACUCACUGCCCACAGCAGUGCUGCAGGGUGAGGUCACCAUGGACGUGGCCGGGGCCUGCUGCCAGCUGCCGCCACGUGUGCAGGAAGUCCCUGGCACCGCCGGCCUGCAGGCCCGGGCCCGGCUGUGCCGCCAUUUCCCUGCGUGGCGGCUCAGCAGGGACGGGCUGGGCCCAGAGGGACACGGACUCUCUCAUCUGGAGGCUGUGCUGGCUGAGCAUGCUGCUCUGUGCCCGCUGGGACCCAGUUUGCUUUCACACAGACAUCUCACACUGCUGUGGGUCACUUUCGAAGGGGGGUGAGGGGACAACGAGCCCCGCGACACUUCCCCAGUGCACAGCUCGGCCCUGUGCGGAGCACAACUUCCUCCUGCCUUUCCUUCUCCAGGCGCAGGGGUGCCUUAUCUCAUCCUCACCAGAGAGCGGGUGAGUUCAGUAGAUAGUAGGUCGGUAGAUUAGAUCAAGAUUUUGGACUAAGGGAACAGAAGGCUUGAAGAAGUGCAAAGUCUGCGGCCUUCUGCUGCUUGGCUGAAGUUGUGCAUACAAUGGGGCUGUGAGGCAAGCAGUAUGCAAAACCCACGCAACAGCAGAAACCACAAUGAGGGAAAACACCACCAAAAAAAUCAAGCUACAGAACUGUAUUCUCACGUUGCUUUUUGGAAUUUAACCUUUUUGGUUUUUUGUUUGCUCAAUGUUGUUUUUACGCAUGGAAUCAUGGAACGGUUUAGGUGAGAUGAGACCUUGUGAACUGCCUGCUUAAAGCAGAGGUCACCUCAAAGCCAGACCAGGUGGCUGUGGAUGUGGGGCAGGGAUCAGGCGAGAUCUCACAGUGACUUUGCUGGUGUGUUUCUUUGCAUGCAAGGAAAAAAGGAGGGGAGCAGCCCAACCUCACACUGCUUUCUGACUGAAAGCCACAUUCCAGAAAAAAGCCCUGACAGACUAUCUCAUUCCCCAGUGCUGUCUGGCAGGUGGAGGAAGAACAGGAAAACACUGGGAACUCAGGAAAAAAACAAAAGGUUAGGAAAUGUGAAUGUCUUUCCUUUUAUUUUUUCCUACUCUGGCAGUGUUCAACUGGAAUUGAGAGUUGUCAUCAACAGGUUUCUGACCACUCCUGGCUGCAGAUGUGAGGCACGCCUUUCCAACCAUGGGGAACAGUAUGAGCACUUAUUUAUUUGCUUAUAGACUUUAUAUGUCUGACUGAUAUCUGGUAGAUGAUCACGCACUGCAAAUUAACACGUUUGUUUCAGUCACACACAGCUCAGCUGUUGAAAUAUUCCUGACUUCCCUCCUCCCCCAGAGCCCAGCGUAUCCCAUGAGACAUUGCUCACCCACAGCAUUCAGGGAAGCCUGGUGAUGGGACGGGAUCCUGCAGCACUUCCAGCUUUGGAAAGGGUUUACUACAGCUGUGUGGAUGACAUGAGCAUCACAGAGAUGGAAGAAGUCCGGCAAACUUCUCUAUAAAAUGAACAGUAAUACAUACAGUGACUCACUUUAGUGAUCUAGAUGAAAGCCAACAGAGCCUCACAUCUCAAACAGACACAAACCACCUCCUUCCUCCAUUUCUCCUGUCCAUCAUGGUUUAUUUUCUUAUUAGCAGCUCUGGCCAUAAACUGUUUGGGAUGGACCAUCUCCUGCUCUGUGCCUCAUGUUACCCUUCUCCCUGCCCUACAGAAAUAUACAUAUUUUCUUAUUUUUUUCAUGCAAUUUUUCCAAUUCCUUGUAGGGUCCAAGAGAAAGAAACUCAUGUAUGUUGUUUUAUGUCCAAGUUACAGCCAAUACACCAAGCUGAAGCUCUGAAUGCUGUAGUGCUCAAAGCCCUGUCUGAGCUCUCAUGAUAAUGGACACCAGACAGCGCUUUCCCAGAAACAAACAUCCCACCCACCAUCAUUGGAGAAGCCUUGGGAAGGACAGAGGUGAUAGCAGACCAGCCCUUUCUUUCUCCAAGUCUAGGGACUCUGGAGAUGAGAAUGGUGGAAAGCCUGUGAUAACAGAAAUCAAGAUAGCUUUGUGACGGUCUGUUAUAAAGAUUUGCGCUCCCCCUCCUCUCCACAUAAGUAACAGGACCUGGCAUUCCAACCCUUCAGGGCUGCCUCGAUUCCCCUUUGCCAAGGGAGGUCUGGGAGACCUCAGUGGGCAAGGAGCUCUGUGCCUGAGUGCCGAGAGGAGGUGUUGUGGAGGCAGAAGGCAGAUCUGUUUGGAAGCACUUGCAAAACAGCCCCCAGAUUUGCUGACAGCCACUGCUAAAGUAUGAACCUUCCCACAUAGCGCUCCAGAACAGGGCCCUUCUCAGUAAGCCAGGCUCACUCACCUGCAGCUGACACGUUGCCUGCACCACUCCUCUCUCCUGCCUGGCAGCACUGAUGUUUUCAAGCUUUUCUUCUGCUGGAUCAAGCUAGCAAAGGGACCUCAAGGGGAAAAUCCCUUCCCUUCCUCUGGCACCUGCCAAGACACAGGUGCUCCUGCUUGUCCCUUCCUGGUGUGGCGCCAGCGUCAUCUCCUGCGACAGGCUGUGAGCCCUCACCCCUGGCCCAGCAGGUGCAUUCCCCAGCAGGGAGGUGGCUCAGCAAACCUGCUGCUGGCCUGGCAAGGCUCCAGAAACACAGCUCCUUCCUCCUGCCUCCCCGAGCACCGUUCCGCUGUGCCCUGCUUCUGCAGAGUGGCUCAUUUCCUUCCAGCUGCAAGCAAAGGGAUGGGGAGAAGCUCCAAGAGGCAAGUGAGGAAUUCUGCAGCCACAUUGGUAGCAAUAGGAUGUUGCAGCAAAGUAGAAAUUGUUUCAGAAAAGGACUGAUCAAGUGCAUGGAGGAUGAGGACACCAGAAACAACUGCAUAUGAUGUUUGGACACAACCUACAGCCUAGUGAGUCCCUACAGCGCUGACUGUCAGAGACAGGGAUGACACAUGAUGGAAAAGAUGAUCCUACAAAUGCUUCAGUUCAAGCAGUGUUACUUCAAGAUUUUUCAGUAUGUCUGUUCUUAUGUAUCCAUCUGAUCAAAGAAGUCAUUACAAAUACAGGAGGCUGGAGGGAAAACUAACAGUCCAACAACAGGCAACUGUCAAUUGGUAAGAACAAUUAAAAUUAUCUUGGCAGUUCUAAUCAUCUGUUGCAGCAGUUAUUAAUGGAAUGUACCUAUGAACAGUCACUCAAAGAGGAAUGCACAGCUCUGAAAAUGUAAGCACGACUGAGGACUAAUAGAAAUACAGAGCUAGAAGGCCAUCAAGAUGUCAUUUACUUGUUCAAAGCAAGCUCUGACAAAAGUUUGUCUAAACUAGUUUUAAAAGUCUCCUGUGAUGGACUGGAAGACCAUGAUAAUUCCUCCUGGCUGUAAAGUCUCAUUAAUGUACUAGACUUCAGAGAACUGCUUUUUCUUUGAAGAAACCAGGCUGGUUAGAACCUUUGAUAUCUUCAUCUUCCAGAUGUUUUAUUAAUUUAGUUUUAAUCAUCGUUUCAUGUCAGGCUUACUGGUCCAAGACAUUGAGUAUUAUCAUUAUAAGCACCAUCUGUCACCCUAUUCCAGCAAGAAAAUUCUUCAGGUUCUUUUCUGAAGCCAUCCUGUUUUGUGCCAAAAGAAAACAUCAAAUUCACAGGAGUGGAAAAAAAAAUAAAAUAAGGCCAAGGAAGAAGACUGCUGCUGCAUGGGCCUGAAGAGUCACUAUGGAUAAAUAACAAUAUACAGAUGACUUAGGUGAGGACUAAGGUCUAGAGAUCCAGAGGAAGCGUAAUAAAGUAACAAUGAAGAAAAGUGAGGGGAAAAGGAAAUGCUGACGGAGCAGAAGGAGACUAUGGUAAGAAGAGACUGUGAAAGUGCUGUCCUCCCAGGAUGUUCGUUGUGGGGCUCCAUAUCCUCUCAUUUCCAGAUGAAAACAAACUGGAUCUUUGGCCUCAGCUGCCAUAAGUUUAUCUUGCUUUGUGAGGAACAAGGAUUCUGAGCAGGAGAUCUUGAUAUGAAUAGGCAUAUUAACUGUGUGUUUCUGAGCUCACUUGGAAAAUCUGGAUGAGAACAGCUGAAAGCCCUUCUGAAUUCAGAUCAGUAGGAAUGGACCUAUGUAACCAAAUAAAGUCAAUAUUCUUUCUUUAUCCAAAAUUACUUCCUAAACAACACCACAGAGUAAGUGCAGCUUGAUUCUAAGGUGCAAAUUGACAAUGGAGGUAAUUAAAAAUACUAUUUGAAAUAAAGCAAGUCCAUUAAUUACUUUUUAAAAAAUCAGGUAGCAGAGAUGCCCUAGUGAAAAUGCUGAUGUAGUGAACAUGCUAAGUCAUGGCCUGAAACAGUGAUUGAGCACCUGACGGAAGGUAGGGCCAACACAGGAGCUCAGGUGCAUGCAGUGCAUCUGAGUAACCAGGAGGGGUGAAGCCAGGAUCCACUCCAUUCCAGACCUCAUUUAAGGGUUGGCAGGGGAAGUGAAGGUACCUCUCUGGAGAUCCUUGCCUAUUGGAGGCCUUCUAAAGGUCAUAUAUGUGCUUCUCCUGGGAGAAAUACAUACAGAAACUUGAAUCAGACCUAGCACUCUCAAAGAUCCUUAAGACACGAACAGAUUUGUCCAGGGAACAAGUAGCAACAAUGGGUCUCCGAAUACAGACGUCCAGACCCGUGAUUGAAGCAGAAUGUAAUGGGAAAUGUAGAUAUUCAAAAUGACUUGAUUCUUCCUGAGAAAAA